ACUGAAGAUGCUAAGAUGAAAAUUUAAAAAUUUCCACAGGCA
rnacentral:tRNA from 1 species